rnacentral:rRNA from 1 species
UAAGUAGGUAGUGAAAUCUGGUGGCUCAACCAUUCAGACUAUUACCUAAACUGGACGUCUCGAGAGCGUCAUGGGUAACUGGAAUUUCUAGUGUAGGAGUGAAAUCCGUAGAUAUUAGAAGGAACACCGAUAGCGUAGGCAGGUUACUGGGGCGUUUCUAACACUAAGGCACGAAAGCGUAGGGAGCAAACGGGAUUAGAUACCCCGGUAGUCUACGCCGUAAACGAUGGAUGCUAGCUGUGGGGGGUAUCGACCCCUUCCGUAGCGAAGCUAACGCGUUAAGCAUCCCGCCUGUGUAGUACGAUCGCAAGAUUAAAACAUAAAGGAAUUGACGGGGACCCGCACAAGCGGUGGAGCGUGAUCUUUAAUUCGAUGCUAAACGAUAAACCUUACCAAGGCUUGACAUCCAGAGAAGGCCUCCGAAAGGAGACUGUGCCUUCGGGAACUCUGUGACAGGUGAUGCAUGGCCGUCGUCAGCUCGUGUCGUGAGAUGUUUGGUUAAGUCCAUCAACGAGCGCAACCCUUGUCAGCAGUUGGAUUUUUCUGCUGAAACUGCCCCGGUAACGAGGAGGAAGGAGGGGAUGAUGUCAGGUCAGUAUUUCCCUUACGCCUUGGGCUAGAAUCGCGCUACAAUGGCCAGUACAAUGCGAAGCGAAGUCGCGAGAUGAAGCAAAUCGCACCAAAGCUGGUCCCAGUUCGGAUAGGAGGCUGAAACUCGCCUCCUUGAAGUCGGAAUCGCUAGUAAUCGCAAAUCAGCAUGUUGCGGUGAAUACGUUCCCGGGUCUUGUACACACCGCCCGUCAAACCAUGAGAGUCACCAACACCCGAAGUCCGUUUCGGCGGCCUAAGGUGGGGGAGAUGAUUGGGGUUAAGUCGUAACAAGGUAACCA